GGCGGCAUGGCCGAGCGGUAAGGCAAGGGACUGCAAAUCCUUUUUUCCCCAGUUCAAAUCCGGGUGUCGCCU
rnacentral:tRNA from 1 species